GCUCCAGUGGAAUUGUGCCCCCUUAUGCCAGGGCUGAAUUUGUUCCAUUGGUAUUAGUAAGGACAGCUCAUACUGUACCUACUUGGAAUCAUAUUUCUCCUUGAACACGGAAAUUUGCUUUAUAACUGACUCGUUUACAUUUAGAAAAUGGGAAGGAGAAAAGAAGCAACUGAAGACUCCAACUGAGGCUCCAACCUGCAGCAUUGCCGACUUUGCCAGAUCCCUUCUAAAGAUUCAUUCAGCAUUCUUUGGAGCAUCAAGUCUUGGCCAGCCCUGGAGAAGAACUUCUUAGUCAGCUGGGAAACAAAGGCUGCCUUCAGUGAACUAAGACCCAAAUUGUGGGCCUGCAUCCUGCAACCUGAAAGACACAACUGUUACACUUCCAGGAGCCUCCGAAGUCAGCGAGGAGAGUUCCCCAGUGACCCAUUAACAACAGAUUUUUAUGGAAAAGAAGCAUGGUUAAACUGGUGAAAAUAACUGUGCACAAGUCAUAAUAGCUCUCCAUUUGCAGAAGAGCUUGGGAGACUUGGCCUGGCAGGCGACCUGCACUCUGCACACCUGGCUAGCCAUAAGG